UUGUCUUCUAAAUAAAGACCAGUAUGAACGGCUAAAUGAGGAUAAACCUGUCUCUUAUAACUAAUCAGUGAAACUGAUCUUCCAGUACAAAAGCUGGAAUAAAAACAUAAGACGAGAAGACCCCGUGGAGCUUAAAACAAAGCACUAACUACUUCAAGCCCUAGUGCCCUGUUUUGAGUUGGGGCGACUUCGGAACAAAACAAAACUUCCGAGCACAGAACCACCAGUUCCAACUAAGGCCAACAAGCCAAAGCAUAAAGCUGACCCGGCCCACGCCGAUCAACGAACCAAGUUACCCCGGGGAUAACAGCGCUAUCUUCUUCAAGAGUCCCUAUCAACAAGAAGGUUUACGACCUCGAUGUUGGAUCAGGACACCCAAAUGGUGCAGCCGCUAUUAAAGGUUCGUUUGUUCAACGA
rnacentral:rRNA from 1 species